AUCAAGAAUCACCUACCAAAUAAAUCUUACUUAAAUUAGUAAAUCUACUUAAUAUUAUAUAUAUGAUCAUAACAUCACUCAUAAAAAUUUUUAAGUGUAUUGAAGGAAAACACUUGUCUGGAAUCCACUUAGGUCCAAUUCUCUGGUUUCUAUACAGAGCAAACCUCCUCUGGUGGACAUUGGAGAAAUAGAUAGACCUAUUAGGGCCAAGGGGCAUUUAUACAAUGCUGUUAGGUCCAAUUAUAACCAGUGUCACACUAGAUGCAUCCAUAAUAUCCUGUCAACAUAUCAUACAUGUCGGAACUAUGUAAUGGGACACUUAUGUUGUAUGUAGAAUCAAGCAGAAGGUAGUAUUUCCCAUUUUAUCAUUUGAAACUUAAAAAUAAAAA